CAGGCAGCCGUGGUGGGUGCAGUAGGCAGCAGGCAGCAGAGGGGCUGGUGCACUUCACUGGUCUGCCAGUGACCUUGAGCCUCUCCAGGGCUUCUGCCUGCCCAGCUGCCUGAGUGGGGGGGGUCGGACUCCCAGGGGCCUUUGAGUCCCUGACGUUCAGGGGUUCUCAGGGUCUAUGAUUGUAAGCAGCCCGACCUCAGGGGGGGGCAGGAGGGUGUCCCGAACUCCCCCCACCCUCCUGCCAAGACUGCGGCAGGAACAGAGGCCGCGGGCUCUGAAGGAUCUGUCACAAAGCGCGGUGGUCGGUUACCGGUUACCACAUAAGCCAAGCCCUUGAUCUGCCGUGUUUGAGGAAACCCUUUGUUCCUUUCAAGUCUCUAUUCUCUCAGCCAGGGCUGGUACAGGGACUGAGGCAGUGAGUUUUCUCUUUCUUCUUUUUCUUUUUGGAUUUUUAAAAAUAACUGGCUUGUGCGUUCAGGCAGUAUUCCAGAAUUGGGUUCCCAGGCUGGGGUUCAGGGCCAGGGACUCCCGCAGCCCCUUAACCCCCAAAGGCCUGGGGGGAGGGAGAGCCUGAGGCUGACAGGGGAGGGGAGGCCAACACAGUGCCCUCCCUAGGGACCCAGGCUCAGGGUCCAGUCCUGGGAGGUGAGGAUGAAGGACACAGAUGGAACAAUGGGGGCUUCCAUCCUGGCAGUAGCACCCCCAAGCUGGCCAAGCCUGGUGCACCCCUGUGCUAAGCUUAGAAGCCCUAGCAGACCUGGCUGAUGGCUCCCUGCUGGGUCCAUGCCAGACAUGGUCAAUCCAUGUCCUUCCCCACGCCCCUCAGAGUCCUGAG
rnacentral:lncRNA from 1 species